CUUGACAUCCAGCGAAGCCUUUAGAGAUAGAGGUGUGCCUUCGGGAGCGCUGAGGCAGGUGCUGCAUGGCUGUCGUCAGCUCGUGUUGUGAAAUGUUGGGUUAAGUCCCGCAACGAGCGCAACCCUUAUCCUUGUUUGCCAGCACGUAAUGGUGGGAACUCCAGGGAGACUGCCGGUGAUAAACCGGAGGAAGGUGGGGACGACGUCAAGUCAUCAUGGCCCUUACGAGUAGGGCUACACACGUGCUACAAUGGCAGAUACAGAGGGCAGCGAGACAGCGAUGUUUAGCGAAUCCCUUAAAGUUUGUCGUAGUCCGGAUUGGAGUCUGCAACUCGACUCCAUGAAGUCGGAAUCGCUAGUAAUCGUGGAUCAGAAUGCCACGGUGAAUACGUUCCCGGGCCUUGUACACACCGCCCGUCACACCAUGGGAGUGGGCUGCACCAGAAGUAGAUAGCUUAACCUUCGGGAGGGCGUUUACCACGGUGUGGUUCAUGACU
rnacentral:rRNA from 1 species